GGCAAGGUGGCCGAGUGGUCCAAGGCGUGUGACUCAAGCGUAAAGCUUGCCUGACUAGUUCGGGUUUCUCAUCUGCGUAUGCAGGCAGGGGUUCGAAUCCCCUUCUUGUCA